UACAGAGGGUGCAAACGUUGCUCGGAAUUAUUGGGCGUAAAGCGCGUGUAGGCGGCUUGUUAAGUCGGUUGUGAAAACCCAUGGCUCAACCAUGGAAGGGCGUCCGAAACUGGCAAGCUUGAGUCCCGACGAGGAUGGCGGAAUUCCCAGUGUAGAGGUGAAAUUCGUAGAUAUCAUCAGGAAUACCGGAGGCGAAGGCGGCUCACUGGGACCUAACUGACGCUGAGGAACGAAAGCUAGGGGAGCAAACGGG
rnacentral:rRNA from 1 species